GAUGGAGGUAUCAUUUUACCCGAGUAUGGAUAAUCUGGGGCAAAGAGCAGAAAUGUCCCUAGCCCCAAACCUAUCAACAGAGUAGCAAGGGCCCAGUGAUAACCUCAUCAAACCCAUCUUGAAGUGGGAUGGGCAGGGCCAAGAAAUAAAAGAGGAAGAAACUAACCAGGAGCCUCGGCCACACUCCAGGCUUGUUCUGUGUCCAGCCGGGCUCACUGCAACUUGGUUUUCAGGGUAUGAGCUGAGCGGCAGUACAACCUGUGUUGUUUAGCAACACAGUACCUUCCCCGUUUACUGCUGUAAGGUGUUAACGAGGAGGCAAAUGAAUUACAACUGACAGUUUACAAAGCAAAGGGGUCCAGGCAUGGUGGCUCACACUUCUAAUCCCAGCACUUUGGGAAGCCAAGGUGGGAGGAUCGCUUGAGUCCAGGCAUUUGAGAUCAGCCUGGGCAACAGAGUGAGGCCCCAUCUCUACACAAAAGAAAAACAACAACAACAACAACAACAACAAUUAGCCAGAUGUGGUGGUGCAUUACUGUGGUCCCAGCUACUCGGAAGGCUGAGGUGGGAGGAUUGCUUGAGCCAAGGAGUUUGAGGUUACAGUGAGCCGUGAUUGCGCCACUGCACUCCCACCUGGGUGAUAGAGAGAGAGAGAGAGAGAGACCCUGUCUCUAAAAUAAAAUAAAACAUACAAAGCAAAGAGAUGCCAUUGCUCUUGCUGCUUCGUCCCCACUCCUCUGAGAUGGAGGAAGAGUAGCCGCUGUUUUAAUAGACGGUCACUAAGAGUUAGCUGCUCCUGGGUGUCUAUCUUUGUGCACACGUGAUUUCUUUAAGGCUCUGAAUUUCCUAUAGUGCUCUGCACAGAGCAGUCUUUAGGAGAAGAGACAUCUGGAUAUCUAUGAAAUCAGUAUUAAAAAUAUAUUCUAGGUCACCCAAUUCCCAACCGUAGUUCCCAGGUAAGGUGUCAAGGGUGGAAACAUCCUGGUUGAUGUCAUACUGUCUGCAGUGAAUGGAGCUAGGACUUGGACCUGGCCUUUGGGCACAAAGGCCACUGCUCUUUCUCCAUCCCUCUUGACUGCUCAGGUGAGUGGCUGCUCUUACUGAACAAUAUCAGUGGGCAGAGGAUGGGAGAAGUCAUGGUUUUCCCCAGGACAGAAACUAGGGCUGGGGCUUC
rnacentral:lncRNA from 1 species